GACGAACGCUGGCGGCGUGCUUAACACAUGCAAGUCGAGCGGUAAGGCCCUUUCGGGGGUACACGAGCGGCGAACGGGUGAGUAACACGUGGGUGACCUGCCCUCAGCUCUGGGAUAAGCCUGGGAAACCGGGUCUAAUACCGGAUAUGACUCCAUGACGCAUGUUGUGGGUGGAAAGCCCUGUGCGGCUGAGGAUGGGCCCGCGGCCAUCAGCUUGUUGGUGGGGUGAUGGCCUACCAAGGCGACGACGGGUAGCCGGCCUGAGAGGGCGACCGGCCACACUGGGACUGAGACACGGCCCAGACUCCUACGGGAGGCAGCAGUGGGGAAUCUUGCGCAAUGGGCGAAAGCCUGACGCAGCGACGCCGCGUGAGGGAUGACGGCCU
rnacentral:rRNA from 1 species